UGAACCAGUACCGUGAGGGAAAGGUGAAAAGAACCCCGGGAGGGGAGUGAAAGAGAACCUGAAACCCUGUGUCUACAAGCUGCGGAAGAGCGACUAACGCUCGACCGUGUACUUUUUGUAGAACGGUCCGGCGAGUUGCCGUUGCUGGCAGGUUAAGUACUUAAGGUACGGAGCCGAAGGGAAACCAAGUCUUAACAGGGCGAUAAGUCAGUAACGGCAGACCCGAAACCGGGUGACCUACCCAUGGCCAGGAUGAAGUCUGCGUAAAAGUGGAUGGAGGUCCGAACACACGUCUGUUGAAAAAGGCGGUGAUGAGCUGUGGGUAGCGGAGAAAUUCCAAUCGAACUCGGAGAUAGCUGGUUCUCCCCGAAAUAGCUUUAGGGCUAGCCUCGGUAUAGUCUAAUGGAGGUAGAGCACUGAAUCGCUGCGGGGGCGUCAAAGUCUACCAAAGCGUAUCAAACUCCGAAUGCCAUAUAGAUGUUUACCGGGAGUCAGACUGUAUGAGAUAAGUCGGACAGUCAAAAGGGAAACAGCCCAGACCAUCUGCUAAGGUCCCAAAGUGUAUGUUAAGUGGUAAAGGAUGUGGGGUUUCGAAGACAACUAGGAUGUUGGCUCAGAAGCAGCCAUUCAUUCAAAGAGUGCGUAAUAGCUCACUAGUCGAGAGGUCCUGCGCCGAAAAUGUCCGGGGCUGAAACAUAACACCGAAGCAAUGGAACAUACCGUAAGGUAUGUUGGUAGGGGAGCAUUGAUAACACGAAGAAGCGGUACCGUAAGGAGCCGUGGAGAGUUAUCAAGAGAGAAUGCCGGAAUGAGUAGCGAGAUGAAGGUGAGAAUCCUUCAGGCCGUAUAUCCAAGGUUUCCAGGGUAAAGCUGAUCUUCCCUGGGGAAGUCGGGACCUAAGCUCAGGCUGAGAAGCGUAGGCGAUGGACAACUGGUUGAUAUUCCAGUACCUCUGGCUAUCAGAAAUGUGGGGACACGGAGAUUCAGGAAGUGCCUGUAAAGGAUUCAGGUGCAAGCAUGGUUUAUGCCGGGCAGGCAAAUCCGCCCGGGUAACUGAACUGUGUGAUGCGGACCGAAAUAUAAGUAGGGAAGCUUCUGGGAGAGCCGUCGAGAAAAGCCGCUAUUGUGUAGUCAGAGCCCGUACCGUAAACCGACACAGGUGGAUGGGGAGAGUAUCCCAAGGCCGGCGGGAGAAGCAUUGUUAAGGAACUCGGCAAAAUGGCCCCGUAAGUUCGCGAUAAGGGGUGCCUGUAGAGAUACAGGCCGCAGAGAAUAGGCUCAAGCAACUGUUUAGCAAAAACACAGGUCUAUGCGAAACCGUAAGGUGAUGUAUAUGGGCUGACGCCUGCCCGGUGCUGGAAGGUUACGGGGAGUGCUUAGGAGCAAUCCGAAGGUACGAACUUAAGCCCCAGUAAACGGCGGCCGUAACUAUAACGGUCCUAAGGUAGCGAAAUUCCUUGUCGGGU
rnacentral:rRNA from 1 species